rnacentral:rRNA from 1 species
UACAGAGGGUGCAAGCGUUAAUCGGAAUUAUUGGGCGUAAAGAGCUCGUAGGCGGCCGGUUGCGUCUGCUGUGAAAUCCCGGGGCUUAACCCCGGGCGUGCAGUGGAUACGGGCCGGCUGGAGGCAGGCAGGGGAGAAUGGAAUUCCCGGUGUAGCGGUGAAAUGCGCAGAUAUCGGGAGGAACACCGGUGGCGAAGGCGGUUCUCUGGGCCUGUACUGACGCUGAGGAGCGAAAGCGUGGGGAGCGAACAGG